rnacentral:misc_RNA from 1 species
GUUUUUGCAUAAUCAAGUGGCAAUUACCAGAAGCAGAGCUAAAUUUUGGAUGCUGCCAGUAACGCUUGGGCAUUUAAAGAAUUUGGACUAAUAGAUAUUCAAAUGCUGUGUGAAGAAAACAUACAGACAGCAGCCUUAUGCUUCUAUCUUCCUUGUAACAGUGUAACAGUGACUUCAUUUUUACUAUAAGACUUUCUUCCUGUGGAUGAUGAAUCUGUCUGUCAAAAACCUUUCCCUGUAGAAACCAGGUUGUUUAGGUUGGUGCAGCACUGGAUUCUCACUAUCCAGCGUCAUUACAACUGAAGACAUGGUGGGUCUGUCUUCUGGCUGUUGUUGUACACACAACAAUCCUACAUGGAUAGACUUCAACAACUCUGAUGUGGAAACUGGUUUCUCCAUCAAAGCAUCCAUUAAUUCCGUAGGCCUUUCUUCAAUCCACAAUCUCCAUGCAGGUUACAACAAUAAACUCGCAUGUCCUAACAGAUUAAGGUCGUGGUCAGGAUGAUAGAAUCCUCUGCUCUUCUUCCCACUCACUAUCUCUAAAACCAGUACUCCAAAGCUGAAGACAUCUGAUUUCACAGAGAACAGCCCAUCUAGUGCAUAUUCAAGAGACAUGUGUCCAUAAGUUCCCAUGACCCUGCUUGUAUUUGCUUCACUUUGGUUACCACCAAAUGUUCUUGCCAAACCAAAGUUUGAUAUUUU